rnacentral:lncRNA from 1 species
GGCUUUUCCAUUUCCAACAUUUUAUUGAUAUUUCAACCCGAGAGAAUUAGACUGUACAUUUUUCAAUCUUCCAAAUAACAUUCCUGAAAGAACCAAUAAUCAAUUUCUGCUUCCCUCUCAUUGGCCAGAAUUGCAUUGAACAGCCAUCCAAAUGGAAAGGUACCUUGGAACUGCUAUGUUUUAGUUGGGCACAUUUCUACCCUGAAAAGAACAGACUUCCAUCAUAAAGAAGGGGAGAUUGUUAAGGAGUGGGAAAUUUGGACACAGACUGACAGGCACAUGGGAGAAUGCCAUAUGAAGAUGAAGACAGUGAUCAGGGUGAUGAAUCUACAAGCCAAGGAAUGCCAAAGAUUGCCAGCGAACCACAAGAAGCGAGGCAAGAGGCAUGGAACAGACUCUUUCUCACAGCCCUCAGAAAGAACCAACCCUGCCAACACUUUGAUCUCAUACUUCUAUCCUCCAGAACUGUGAGACAAUAAAUUUCUGGUGUUUAAGCCACUCAGUUUGUGUUACUUUGUUAUGGCAGCCCUAGGAAGCUAAUACAG